rnacentral:rRNA from 1 species
GAUGAACGCUGGCGGCGUGCCUAAUACAUGCAAGUCGAGCGAAUGGAUUAAGAGCUUGCUCUUAUGAAGUUAGCGGCGGACGGGUGAGUAACACGUGGGUAACCUGCCCAUAAGACUGGGAUAACUCCGGGAAACCGGGGCUAGUACCGGAUAACAUUUUGAACCGCAUGGUUCGAAAUUGAAAGGCGGCUUCGGCUGUCACUUAUGGAUGGACCCGCGUCGCAUUAGCUAGUGGGGAGGGUACCGGCUCACCAAGGCAACGAUGCGUAGCCGACCUGAGAGGGGAAUCGGCCACACUGGGACUGAGACACGGCCCAGACUCCUACGGGAGGCAGCAGUAGGGAAUCUUCCGCAAUGGACGAAAGUCUGACGGAGCAACGCCGCGUGAGUGAUGAAGGCUUUCGGGUCGUAAAACUCUGUUGUUAGGGAAGAACAAGUGCUAGUUGAAUAAGCUGGCACCUUGACGGUACCUAACCAGAAAGCCACGGCUAACUACGUGCCAGCCGCCGCAGUAA